GUGUGUGUGUCUUUCACAUCAUGGUUCCUGAUCCUGUCCACCUCCCUCCCCACCCCAAAUAAAACCAAAUAUAAGAUGGGGGAAGAAAGGAAGAAGGGCAAAAUCUCAUCCUGGAAGCUGCGGUGUGACACGGAACACUGAAAUCGGGAAUGUAUGAUAGUAGGAAGCACUCUAUAAAAAACUACAAUGGCCCCAUCAUUGUGACAUCCUCAAGAGACUCAAAAGAAGUUACCAUCAGAGGCUAUGCAAUUAAAGGAAAAAAAAACUAGAACAAAGAACAGAGGAAAACAACCAAAACACCCCAAGUGAUCUCCAACUAAUGAGGUGACCGCAAUCGAGAUGAAGACUCCUAGGAUGUAGUGUCAGUUGUCCUUUGUACCUUUAGCGCAUCCACAGAGGGAAGUGGUGAAAGCUACUUCGGGGAGCAGAGGAGGCUAGCAGGAAGGUAAACAGUAAGACAGAGAAGCAAGACUCCAGCGGCGGAAAGGGAAGAGAGAAGGCCGUGGUACAGAGGAGGAUUUUCUGCCUAUGAAGAACCGAGACAGCAGUGCUCACCAGCUGAGAUGUCCAGGCCCAGCAACAGCACAGCGCUUGACUCCUUCCAAACGCCCAUAGGGCCUUGUGUUUGGAUGAGGUCUCCACACGAAGAACAUAUGCAGUGACUCCAACCAGGAGCAGAAAAUGGAAAUGCUGAAGUGAUAGCAGCCAUGACCCCUCCUUGUUGGCUAAUCUCCAAGGAUAGAUGUUGAGUUCACAGGGGUCUGGUGUCUCUGUUCAGACAAAAGCCUUGGGAAAUGGCAAGUUGACAGAUGGACCUGGUUCAACAGACAGCUCCAAAUCCAUAGUUACACAGACAAUCAUGUUUAUCUCGGUGGGUCACAAAAAGAAAAAGAAGAAGAAGAAGAAGAAGAAGAAGAAGAAGAAGAAGAAAUAGACAUGGAUGUGAACAAGAGGAAAUUUGUCGUGAGGAAUGGGGAGAUAGGAGUUGACAGCUCAGUGUGCAUUUCAUACUGGUACAAAAUUGUCUAAAAACAACUUUAAUUAUUAAGAAAAAAAGAUACAUAGAGUUUGAGAAAAAAUCCAACACCACCCUUUGACCUCCACACAUGCAUGCGCAAAUGCACACAUAAACACAAAUGCACACACAGAUAUAAACACAAAAGAACACUGAGGUUUUUCGUGGGUGGGAUGAAUGCUGAUCUUUUCAAGGUCUAGUAGGGGGAAAUGCACUUUUAUGAUAUGUUAAAUGACAUAUGCUCAAAUACUAAAGCCUGAACUAAAUAUUUCUAUUACUGAGCCAUUGAUGAAACAUUUCCUAUUCUUUUCAGGGCUGUAUGGAACCUGUCUGGUUUGUACAGGAUAGUCUUAGACCUGAAGAAACACUGGCUUGGUUGUAGAAUGCGCCAGCCUUGUGACCCUUCCCUAGCCCUUUCCAAAGAACUACAGAAUCCCAGCGUAGAUCCCGAACCAAGGCAGAGAAACAGGGAAAGUUACAGUGCCGCUCAAAGACCUUCCCACACAGUCUCUCUUCCCACAGCGGUGACAUUCUCCUCCAGGUGCCAUGAAUCAUUUCCGCCCCUUCCCACCUGAGGGAGUGGAAGAGCUCUCUCCGGAUCUGUAACCAGAAUUCCUACUUCACCGAAGAGAAACAAAUCUGGGUCACCUGUUCCUGGCCCUCAUCUCACCAGGUCCCAACUCUUAUCAUCUCCCAGGAACAGCAUGGAGUUGAGCUUUGCUGGAGUGCUCUAGUGUGCAUUUGAAUGAAUGGAAGGCCUCACCAUGAACUGAUGUGUGUAUCAUUUCCAUUCUUAGAGAUGGUGAAGUAAGUCUUAGGCAGGACAGGGCUCUGAGUAACAAGGUGGGUGGCGGAGCAGGUAUUGCAUUUGAAGUUGUCUGAUUCCAAACUUGAAUGUUUAACCACUAUCUUACAUUAUUUGGCUCCUCCAUCCUAUGAAACUUCUUCCUAAUUAACAGGGUGGAAACUAUAUAGAGAGGAAAACCUCAUAAAUGCUUAAUUGGGCACAUGUGGAGAACUUAAAGGAAACAUUUUACUUUCGGAAGUCUUGGCGAGGAGAAGUGAACAAGCGUGUGUGGGGGUGGGGGGCGGGAGGGAUAAAAGCCUCGACAGUUCUUAGUCCACAGCAUCUCUUGACUGUUUUUUUUUUUUAAUUGUUGUCUCCUUAUCAACUGAUUCUUUGUCACCACUUGUUUUACACUAACACUGUGACAGUUGUCAGGCUGGAUCAUCAGAGCUAUGAGGUUAAGGUUUCCAGAGAAGUGCUAAACUUCCAGUCUCCUGCCUAUAUUCACAGGCAGUGACCUGGAUUUACCUGAGAGGAAGAGCUUAUGACAUUGAUUUUAAGCCACAGAUAAGCAUUUUGUGUCCAACUUAUUGUAACAUGGGCCAAACACACAAAGAUAUUUAAUUCUGUAUGUUCCUGUAGGAAAACAAAAUAAAGCAGGGAAAAUACAUAAUGGAAGUUAAAAUAUGGAGAGGAGGAUCUUAGGUGUGUUUAUACUUGCUCCUUAUGGCAUGCUGCCAACUGCACAAAGCAGGCAUUGCCAUCUUAAUCAGAGAGGCUGUGACUCUCUGCAAGGCUCCCUCAGGAUAGAACCUAUUGGCAUUCUGUCAUCCAAUGAAAGGGUUGAGAGGAUCAUUACUCUCUCCUGAGAUUCCAGCCACUCCCUCCUGCACACCUCCUCCCAGCUGUAUGCAAUCCUGCCCCAGUUGCUCACAGUCUUGGGAGGUGAUGGACGAUGCAGAGUGUAGGACAUUAGCUGGAGUGGGAACGCCCUCUCUGUAUCCACAGGGAAGUCAUCAUCCAUACCGGGGAGGGACUUUUUGGUGAUAGGGUUGUUUGGAGUCACCCAUGCACUUGUAAGUAAGCCAAAUAAACUCAUUGGCUUAACAAACUAGACUUAAGUGGAAUUGUUAUAUAAUUCAUUGGUGCCCUAUUGAGGGUGAAUAAAUGUUUAUUUACAUUUCCCAGGCAACUUUUAUGUUAGAUUACUGAAUUUCUUCAAACACAUGUAGAAAGUCUAGGAUACUGGAUACACUCUAUCUGGGUUGUAAACCUGUUCGUAGUUAUUUCUAGAUCAGAGACUAACUGCUAAAAGGUGGGUUAGAAUCUUCCAGAAAGUGAUAUGUCUGAUUUUUGACACAUGCUCUUCAGAGGUGUUGGAAGAAUUGUAAGACAUGGAGAAUAAUGAAUCUGGACACUCAUUAUUUCAGACCUGGGUGAGGGAUUAUCAUCUUCUUGGAGUACCAGGAGAGUCCCGCCAGAGAUUGCUUGAGAACCCAGUCCAACUGGCAUCACUUUCUGUCCCUCAUGUUUAACAGCCAUCUGCCUCGUUGGGCCAGGCAUUGACUUGUCUGCAAUAGUGCUGACUCAAACACAAGGUCUUAAGGAUCUUGAAAGGUCUCUGCAGCCCUGAGAUUCAUUAUUAUGUUCUGCCAGGGAAAUCCACAGGGUGAGCACAUAGAUCAUCAUCCCCUAGGCACUAGCGUAUGUAGACCAAGGAUCAUAUCUGCAGGUAUGCACAAUCACCUGAAUGGAAUUUGAAGACUGGUGUGGAACUGAAAUAUGAAGUGUUCCCUAGGAAAAUUAAUUGCCUUGGCUCUCCCCCAGAGAGUUUAAGGACUUUCCGUUGUGGAAUGCCUGGGAGCGUGAAUGAGGAGGCACCAGGUUAGGGGAACCCAGGCUGAGUGGAACUCCUAUCAGAUCUACUCCCUAGAUGAAGUGGGAAUUGCUGAAGGGUCUGGUGGGGCAGGGGGCUGGGUGAAGUUAGUCUACCUUCCUAGGCUGCUGAAGCCGCUGUUCCUGUCCUGGCUUAGCAGCUGUCAAAUCUAAAAACCACACUGAUUGUGAACCACUGGGGCAAACAGAACACAGAUAGCUGCCCUCCCCACCCUGUUCUGUUAGCUCCUCCAAAGCAGCAGUUCCGUUCUUCCCACCGUCAUGGGGGUCAUCGUCACACCCCACCCCUCCAUCUCCUCCAGCUUUUCGCACUGCAGCAUACAUUCAAACUGUUCCUCUUAGGGCUAACUUUUUGCCUUUGGGUCUUUGGGAUACAGGUUUUCAUGGAAUGGCAGAGAACACUGGCUUGCUAAGGAAACAGACUUUUCUUCAUAGAAAUUUUCAUCCGGGUUUUUAUUUUAACAUUCAACUAGUAUAUUUAAACAUGAAACAGCUCAGCCAAUCCAGUUCCUGCCAUCUUUUCUGCUUCCUCACAGGGUGCACACAGCUAGCCCUGUGUGCUUUAUUGCUGCAGUACUACAAGAUUCCCUUUCCAAAUCACCUUGAGUAGGGCACCCUUGACUGAUGCCCAAGAGCCUCGUGAACUUCUCCAUAUGACCUGCAAUCCUCACUGCCUCCUUUCUUCUCCUUCUUGCCCUGAAGCCUCCCUCUGCAUUUCAUUCCUGGUGGUGCCUAGAACCUUAUAAAAUAGUUUAUAUUUAGACUGUGUGCUUACUAUUUACUGUUUCUCAUCCCUUGAAGUUAAGUUAUACAAAAGCAAAAAAAAUUAAUGUGUUUGUUGACUGAUACAUCUCUAAUGUUGGAAACAAUACUGGACAUAUAGUUGGAAUAAUGUUAAAAGGAUGAUGGGAAGAUGAAUGAAUGGGUUAAUGAUUCAUCAAAUAAAAUAGGAGUUAUAAUUGUU